rnacentral:rRNA from 1 species
GACGAACGCUCGCGGCGUGCCUAAUACAUGCAAGUCGAACGAGAGCGACUGGUGCUUGCACUGGUCAAUCUAGUGGCGAACGGGUGAGUAACACGUGGGUAACCUGCCCAUCAGAGGGGGAUAACAUUCGGAAACGAAUGCUAAAACCGCAUAGGUCUUCGAACCGCAUGGUUUGAAGAGGAAAAGAGGCGCAAGCUUCUGCUGAUGGAUGGACCCGCGGUGCAUUAGCUAGUUGGUGAGGUAACGGCUCACCAAGGCCGUGAUGCAUAGCCGACCUGAGAGGGUGAUCGGCCACAUUGGGACUGAGACACGGCCCAAACUCCUACGGGAGGCAGCAGUAGGGAAUCUUCCGCAAUGGACGCAAGUCUGACGGAGCAACGCCGCGUGAG